GAUGAACGCUGGCGGCGUGCCUAAUACAUGCAAGUCGAGCGAACGGACGAGAAGCUUGCUUCUCUGAUGUUAGCGGCGGACGGGUUAGUAACACGUGGAUAACCUACCUAUAAGACUGGGAUAACUUCGGGAAACCGGAGCUAAUACCGGAUAAUAUUUUGAACCGCAUGGUUCAAAAGUGAAAGACGGUCUUGCUGUCACUUAUAGAUGGAUCCGCGCUGCAUUAGCUAGUUGGUAAGGUAACGGCUUACCAAGGCAACGAUGCAUAGCCGACCUGAGAGGGUGAUCGGCCACACUGGAACUGAGACACGGUCCAGACUACUACGGGAGGCAGCAGUAGGGAAUCUUAAGCAAUGGGCGAAAGCCUGACGGAGAAACGCCGCGUGAGUGAUGAAGGUCUUCGGAUCGUAAAACUCUGUUAUUAGGGAAGAACAUAUGUGUAAGUAAAUGUGCACAUCUUGACGGUACAUAAUCAGAAAGACACGGCUAACUACGUG
rnacentral:rRNA from 1 species